rnacentral:snoRNA from 1 species
AAGCGGUGAUGACUUCUGCGCGCGAGUGGUGAUUGGGUCGCCACAUUUGUCUGAUUUCAAUCGGAUCAUUAGCGCAUCUGAGACUC